rnacentral:rRNA from 1 species
GGGAGGUAGUGACAAUAAAUAACAAUACGGGGUUCUUUCGGAUCUCGUAAUUGGAAUGAGUACAAUUUAAAUCUCUUAACGAGGGACAAUUGGAGGGCAAGUCUGGUGCCAGCAGCCGCGGUAAUUCCAGCUCCAAUAGCGUAUAUUAAAGUUGUUGCAGUUAAAAAGCUCGUAGUUGAAUUUCGGGGUCAGCAGGUUGGUCGUGCCACUGGUAUGCACUGGCUUCGCUGAUUCCUCCUUUCUGAAGAACUGUAAUGCCAUUAAUUUGGUGUUGCAGGGAAACAGGACUGUUACUUUGAAAAAUUAGAGUGUUUAAAGCAAGCAUUAGCUUGAAUACAUUAGCAUGGAAUAAUGAAAUAGGACGUUUGAUCCUAUUUCGUUGGUUUCUAGGAUCGACGUAAUGAUUAAUAGGGAUAGUUGGG